UCCAGACUCCUACGGGAGGCAGCAGUGGGGAAUAUUGCACAAUGGGGGAAACCCUGAUGCAGCGACGCCGCGUGAGUGAAGAAGUAAUUCGUUAUGUAAAGCUCUAUCAGCAGGGAAGAAAAUGACGGUACCUGAGUAAGAAGCCCCGGCUAACUACGUGCCAGCAGCCGCGGUAAUACGUAGGGGGCAAGCGUUAUCCGGAUUUACUGGGUGUAAAGGGAGCGUAGACGGCAGAGCAAGUCUGAAGUGAAAGCCCGCGGCCCAACCGCGGGACUGCAUUGGGAACUACCGGGCUGGAGUGCCGGAGAGGUAAGCGGAAUUCCUAGUGUAGCGGUGAAAUGCGUAGAUAUUAGGAGGAACACCAGUGGCGAAGGCGGCUUACUGGACGACUACUGACGCUGAGGCUCGAAAGCGUGGGGAGCAAACAGGAUUAGAUACCCCGGUAAU
rnacentral:rRNA from 1 species